rnacentral:lncRNA from 10 species
UAGGCUAAAGUCCACGGGCUGUAGAAGCAAACCUUAAAGGGACAUCUGCCUUUCAUUGAGAGGGUGAUCUCGUUCUCCGGGCCAAAUCCCCUAAGGUGGUAGGAAGGCGGAUGAAAACGUCUAGUUGCAGGAAAACAGGCUGAGGGCUCCCACUGAUUCUACAUUAUGGGCUGGAAUCUGAGUAGCUGAGGUGCUUAUGUGACUACAUGCCUACAUCACUGACCCCCAAUAAACACCUUGGACACAAGACUCAGAUAAAGAAACCUCAGAUCAAAUAUAAGCAUCAAAAUCUACAAAGAUUUUAGAGGGUGAAGAAACACGGAAAGAUCUCUGGUGAUGGAGCCAGCAUUGAUGAACCAAGAAAAGUCUUAAACGUGAAGAAGCCUGUGAUAAACAAGGUGACUCACCUCAUCAAAUGGAAUAGGGAUCUUCUGGCAAAGCUGCCUGGGUAAACCGCAACUCACAAGGGAUAGAAUUUCACUAAAUUCUUAAGAGGUUACAGACUCUAUUUCUAUCCUUAAAUACACUCAUUAUUUUAUCCCUGGAUAUACCCAAUUAUAGUUUAAACUUAAAUUGAAUAAAAGAUGAUGGGAGGACUGUGCCCAGGGGAAUAACAAGGAAGAAAAAUGUCAGAAGAAUUAGUUUCUCUCUAAUUGAACAAAUGUAUUUAUAUUUCCUUGUUGAUAGGCAUAGAUUCUCAAUGAGAAACUGAAACUUAUGAAGUUACAUUUAAGACUCCAGUUGUGACAAUGAUGACCAAUGCUCUUUGGUAUUACGUUUUCCAAUUCAACACAGGAAAUGAGUUGGAAUUUGUUUUGCAGUUUUUUUUUCAGCCUGUUUUGUGGAGUAUUUUUUCCU